rnacentral:tRNA from 1 species
GCGGAGGUAGCAUAGCCUGGCCAACUGCGGCGGACUCAAGACCCGCUCCCGUAGGGGUUCGCAGGUUCGAAUCCUGCCCUCCGCA